UGGGGAAUAUUGGACAAUGGGCGCAAGCCUGAUCCAGCCAUGCCGCGUGGGUGAUGAAGGCCCUAGGGUUGUAAAGCCCUUUCGGCGGGGAAGCGGUACCCGCAGAAGAAGCCCCGGCUAACUUCAUGCCAGCAGCCGCGGUAAAACCGGUUACUCCUACGG
rnacentral:rRNA from 1 species